AGUCAACAUGCCCAGGGGACGUGGAUAACCUCGGGAAACUGAGGAUAAACCACGAUAGGUCAUAAUAUCUGGAAUGAUUUAUGGCUAAAAUCUACAUGGCCUCUGGAUUGGACUGCGGCCGAUCAGGCUGUUGGUGAGGUAAUGGCCCACCAAACCUAAAACCGGUACGGGCUCUGAGAGGAGAAGCCCGGAGAUGGGCACUGAGACAAGGGCCCAGGCCCUAUGGGGCGCAGCAGGCGCGAAAACUCUGCAAUAAGCGAAAGCUUGACAGGGUUAUUCUGAGUGAUUUCCGCUAAGGAAAUCUUUUGGCACCUCUAAAAAUGGUGCAGAAUAAGGGGUGGGCAAGCCUGGUGUCAGCCGCCGCGGUAAUACCAGCACCCCGAGUGGUCGGGACGAUUAUUGGGCCUAAAGCAUCCGUAGCCGGUUCUACAAGUCUUCCGUUAAAUCCAUCUGCUUAACAGAUGGGCUGCGGAGGAUACUAUGGAGCUAGGAGGCGGGAGAGGCAAGCGGUACUUAGUGGGUAGGGGUAAAAUCCGUUGAUCCACUGAAGACCACCAGUGGCGAAGGCGGCUUGCCAGAACGCGCUCGACGGUGAGGGAUGAAAGCUGGGGGAGCAAACCGGAUUAGAUACCCGGGUAGUCCCAGCUGUAAACGAUGCAGACUCGGUGAUGAAUAGGCUUCGUGCCUUUUCAGUGCCGCAGGGAAGCCGUUAAGUCUGCCGCCUGGGGAGUACGGUCGCAAGACUGAAACUUAA
rnacentral:rRNA from 1 species